rnacentral:rRNA from 1 species
AAUCAGCCUUUGGAUGCGAUUUUGUGGAGCGUGAGGAGCUAAUCGCCUUCAUGCCUGUAUAUUCGUGUACUUGGGGUGUACUUAUUCGUGUGGUAAGUUAACAUCAAUUUUGGUCGUCAUAAAAUGACUGGAGGAAUGUAGCUUCGAUCUCGUAUUGAAGUGUUAUAGCCUUUGGUAGAUGUGAUUAUCGGGAUUGAGGAUUGCAACGGAUACCCUUCGGGGCUACUUGUCUGAUCUCUGAUCGUUGCUUUGGUGCCGAAAGCGUGCUUACGGUUAUCAAAGUCGAUGGUUAAUAGGUUAGAACGGGUUAAAUUCGUUAAGGAUGUUGACGUA